AAAAGAACAAGAGAAUGUUACCGUUCGGGCCUAGUCAACUUGAGAAGGAAGCCCACGUCUGCCAGCAGCAGAUACUGUCUAAAGUCCUUAGGAGUCAGGGUUUCUAUAAGUCCCUGAAUUCAAGCUGCUCAGUAACCCCAAGGUUUUAAUCGGCAGAAGGCCCACUGUCUGGGGGGCUGACGGUGUCACUGUGGUCCGCACUCCUGACCUCCAUGCUCCAUCACUGGUGUGCUGCCCUUCCACUGUCACGUCCAAAGGCACGUGCUAGCCCACUUGAAGCAGUCUGACAGAGCCCUGGGUUCAGCAGAAUGUGGCAUUAUUAGAUAACAAACUAAAAACGGAAGGAGUGGACUCUGACAGCUGACGGUGCUGCACCACCACACCCAGGUGCUCUCCCCUGCAACCACCGCCUGUCCACUGUCAACAAGGUCCAAAC